rnacentral:rRNA from 1 species
UACGGAGGGUGCAAGCGUUAUCCGGAUUCACUGGGCGUAAAGGGUGCGUAGGUGGUCGGGUAAGUCUGAUGUGAAAUCUCCAAGCUUAACUUGGAAAUGGCAUUGGAUACUAUUCGGCUAGAGGGUUUGAGGGGGGACUGGAAUACUUGGUGUAGCAGUGAAAUGCGUAGAUAUCAAGUGGAACACCAGUGGCGAAGGCGAGUCCCUGGAAAACUCCUGACACUGAGGCACGAAAGCUAGGGGAGCAAACAGG